UGGGGAAUCCUGGUCAAUGGGCGAAAGCCUGAACCUGCGACGCCGCGUGAGUGAUGAAGGUCGUAAGAUCGUAAAACUCUUUUCAGGGAUCUUAAAGCCUGUCUGUCAACAACAGGCAGAUCUGACUCUCCCUGGAAGAAGCCCCAGUCAACUACGUGCCAGCAGCUGCGGUAAUACGUAGGGGGCGAGCGUUAUUCGGAAUUACUGGGUGUAAAGGGUAUGUAGGCGGCCCUUCAAGUCGCGUGUCAAAGUCCAGUGCUCAACGCUGGGUGUCAAAGGCCAGGGCUGAACGAUGGGGGGGCAGGCGAUACGGACGGGCUUGAGGGCUGGAGAGGUGAGCGGAAUUCCCGGUGUAGUGGUAAAAUACGUAGAGAUCGGGAGGAACACCAGCGGCGCAGGCGGCUCACUAGACAGUUUCUGACGCUAAGAUACGAAAGCGUGGGGAGCAAACA
rnacentral:rRNA from 1 species